UGGGGAAUAUUGGACAAUGGGCGAAAGCCUGAUCCAGCCAUGCCGCGUGUGUGAAGAAGGUCUUCGGAUUGUAAAGCACUUUAAGUUGGGAGGAAGGGCAGUAAGCUAAUACCUUGCUGUUUUGACGUUACCGACAGAAUAAGCACCGGCUAACUCUGUGCCAGCAGCCGCGGUAAUACAGAGGGUGCAAGCGUUAAUCGGAAUUACUGGGCGUAAAGCGCGCGUAGGUGGUUUGUUAAGUUGGAUGUGAAAGCCCCGGGCUCAACCUGGGAACUGCAUCCAAAACUGGCAAGCUAGAGUAUGGUAGAGGGUGGUGGAAUUUCCUGUGUAGCGGUGAAAUGCGUAGAUAUAGGAAGGAACACCAGUGGCGAAGGCGACCACCUGGACUGAUACUGACAC
rnacentral:rRNA from 1 species